rnacentral:rRNA from 1 species
CCCCACAUUGGUACUGAGACACGGACCAAACUUUUACGGGAGGCAGCAGUGAGGAAUAUUGGUCAAUGGAGGCAACUCUGAACCAGUUACGCCGCGUGCAGUAAGAAGGCCAGAAAGGUUGUAAACUGCUUUUGUAUAUGAAUAAAAAAUUCUACUUGUAGAAAGAAUUGAAGGUAAUAUACGAAUAAGUAUCGGCUAACUCUGUGCCAGCAGCCGCGGUAAGACAGAGGAUAUAAGCGUUAUCCGGAAUUAUUGGGUUUAAAGGGUGCGUAGGUUGUUUUUUAAGUCAGUAGUGAAAUCUGACAGCUUAACUGUCAAACUGCUACUGAUACUGUAAAACUAGAGUGGGGUAGGAGUAACUGGAAUGUGUGGUGUAGCGGUGAAAUGCAUAGAUAUCACACAGAACACCAAUAGCGAAAGCAGGUUACUAGAUCUCAACUGACACUGAGGCACGAAGGCAUGGGUAGCAAACAGGAUUAGAUACCCUGGUAGUCCACGCAGUAAACUAUGAUCACUAACUGUUGGAUAGAAAAUAGAAAGAAAAUAUUCAGUGGUUAAGCUAAAGUGAUAAGUGAUCCACCUGAGAAGUACGAUCGCAAGAUUGAAACUCAAAGGAAUUGACGGGGGCUUGCACAAUUGGUGGAGCAUGUGGUUUAAUUCGAUGAUACACGAAGAACCUUACCAAGGCUUAAAUGUACUACGAAUAAACUAGAAAUAGUUUAGUCUUGCGACGGAGUACAAGGUG